GAUGAACGCUGGCGGCGUGCUUAACACAUGCAAGUCGAACGAUGAAGCCCAGCUUGCUGGGUGGCUUCGUGGCGAACGGGUGAGUAACACGUGAGUAACCUGCCCUUAACUCUGGGAUAAGCCUGGGAAACUGGGUCUAAUACCGGAUAGGAGCGUCCACCGCAUGGUGGGUGUUGGAAAGAUUUAUCGGUUUUGGAUGGACUCGCGGCCUAUCAGCUUGUUGGUGAGGUAAUGGCUCACCAAGGCGACGACGGGUAGCCGGCCUGAGAGGGUGACCGGCCACACUGGGACUGAGACACGGCCCAGACUCCUACGGGAGGCAGCAGUGGGGAAUAUUGCACAAUGGGCGCAAGCCUGAUGCAGCGACGCCGCGUGAGGGAUGACGGCCUUCGGGUUGUAAACCUCUUUCAGUAGGGAAGAAGCGAAAGUGACGGUACCUGCAGAAGAAGCACCGGCUAACUACGUG
rnacentral:rRNA from 1 species